UUUCUUUUUGGUUUGAAUUGAGAUUAUGUCACUGUGUGAAAAUGUAGUAUAGCACAGUAGCGUGAUUUUUCUCAAUAGCAAGCGAUGUUUUGCCGUUCGAAAUCGCCGGUAAUAUGAAUCGGAAAUCGCACAAGUCAUCUCUACAGUACAAUUUCCUUUCACGACUAAAGCAUUUACGAGACAAUUGCGAAUGACAUACACAACAUUGAAGACAAUUUUCGUGCCAUGGAUCUUCCGUCACUUUCAUUAAAAAUCUAUCCUCGAUAGGCUGAUGGCAGCCUGUGCAGAUAUUCAACACGUUGCCAGUGAGACAGGUUGAGUUUUGAUUUCCUCCUAAAUGAAACUUGGAAUGAAUAAGAAGUUCGUAGAAUAAAAUUAUGAAGGCUA